AGGUUGGAGAUUCCCUGUCUUCUCCAACCUCUGCCAAGUCUUCAGAGAGGUUGGAGUGCGCCUGUCGGAGGUCGGGGCCAGCCCACCUUGCUCUCUAGUACUAGACCCCAGAUGAGGAUCUCGGGAAGAUCCACAAAGCUGCGUCCAGGGGAGCGAACCUGUGGAAGCUGCAGCGGAGCCUCCUGCUCAAGAGUAAAGGACCGGUCUGAAACCUCCAAGAACAG
rnacentral:lncRNA from 1 species